CGAUAACAUCACGUUGAAACAUCAGUUCUUGUACGAUCAUGGAAGUUACGCAACGUCGAGCCUGGUCAGUACCUCGAUGGGUGAUCGCUUGGGAAUACCAGUUGUUGUCA